AUUAUCGCCGAGGGGUGGCCGAACGGCCUGAGAUCCUAAAUUGGGAACCCUUAUAACCUGAUCCAGUUAAUACUGGCGUAGGAACAGGCUGCAACUCGACUU
rnacentral:ncRNA from 2 species